UACGAAGGGGGCUAGCGUUGCUCGGAAUCACUGGGCGUAAAGGGUGCGUAGGCGGGUCUUUAAGCCAGGGGUGAAAUCCAGGAGCUCAACUCCAGAACUGCCUUUGAUACUGAGGAUCUUGAGUUCGGGAGAGGUGAGUGGAACUGCGAGUGUAGAGGUGAAAUUCGUAGAUAUUCGCAAGAACACCAGUGGCGAAGGCGGCUCACUGGCCAGAUACUGACGCUGAGGCACGAAAGCGUGGGGAGCAAACAGG
rnacentral:rRNA from 1 species